rnacentral:rRNA from 1 species
GCAAGUCGAGCGAGAAAGCCUUCGGGUGAGUAGAGCGGCGGACGGGUGAGUAACGCGUAGGAAUUUGGCUAGUAGAGGGGGAUAACCUGGUGAAAACCAGGCUAAUACCGCAUACGCUCUAAGGAGGAAAGCGGGGGAUCUUCGGACCUCGCGCUAUUAGAUAAGCCUGCGUAAGAUUAGCUAGUUGGUAGGGUAAGGGCCUACCAAGGCGACGAUCUUUAGCUGUUCUGAGAGGAUGAUC